rnacentral:rRNA from 1 species
GAUGAACGCUGGCGGCGUGCCUAAUACAUGCAAGUCGAGCGAACGGACGAGAAGCUUGCUUCUCUGAUGUUAGCGGCGGACGGGUGAGUAACACGUGGAUAACCUACCUAUAAGACUGGGAUAACUUCGGGAAACCGGAGCUAAUACCGGAUGAUAUUUUGAACCGCAUGGUUCAAAAGUGAAAGACGGUCUUGCUGUCACUUAUAGAUGGAUCCGCGCUGCAUUGGCUAGUUGGUAAGGUAACGGCUUACCAAGGCAACGAUGCAUAGCCGACUUGAGAGGGUGAUCGGCCACACUGGAACUGAGACACGGUCCAGACUCCUACGGGAGGCAGCAGUAGGGAAUCUUCCGCAAUGGGCGAAAGCCUGACGGAGCAACGCCGCGUGAGUGAGGAAGGUCUUCGGAUCGUAAAACUCUGUUAUUAGGGAAGAACAUAUGUGUAAGUAACUGUGCACAUCUUGACGGUACCUAAUCAGAAAGCCACGGCUAACUACGUG